GAUGAACGCUAGCUACAGGCUUAACACAUGCAAGUCGAGGGGUAACGAGAGGAAAGCUUGCUUUCCUUGUCGACGACCGGCGCACGGGUGAGUAACGCGUAUCCAACCUGCCCCCAACUAGGGAAUAACCUUGCGAAAGUAAGACUAAUACCCUAUAAUUUCCUCAGAUGACAUCUGACGAGGAAUAAAGAUUUAUCGGUUGUGGAUGGGGAUGCGUCUGAUUAGCUUGUUGGCGGGGUAACGGCCCACCAAGGCAACGAUCAGUAGGGGUUCUGGGAGGAAGGUCCCCCACAUUGGAACUGAGACACGGUCCAAACUCCUACGGGAGGCAGCAGUGAGGAAUAUUGGACAAUGGGCGAAAGCCUGAACCAGCCAAGUAGCGUGCAGGAUGACGGCCCUAUGGUUGUAAACUGCUUUUAUACAGGAAUAAAGUUAGCCACGUGUGGUUAUUUGUAGGUACUGUAUGAAUAAGGACCGGCUAAUUCCGUGCCAGCCGCCGCCGUAA
rnacentral:rRNA from 1 species